CACUUGGGGAGGAAAUAGCCGCUGUAGUAGCCGCUCAGGCUGCUUAGCACCGCCAGCGCGUUGGCUGCAAGGAGGUACUCGCCCUGAUAGACGCUGGCCAUGGUGUAGAAGGCGAUCCAGGACACGAAGUGAGUACAAAUGCCGUAUAGCAAACAAACAAAAAAAGAAGUAACAGGUGUUCUACAACUACAUGGAAGGGCCCAAGUCAAGGCAUAGCUCAUGUGUGGAGAAGAAAACAGACUGUGUGCAUUUGCCCUCAGGGCUCACUGUCAGGACAGAGCCCCUGGUCAUGUGAACCAAUGCCAUCGGUCUGUCAGCCCACGGAGAUAGCCUUCCUCCUUCUUCGGCAGGACUGGGUAGAGCAAGGCAACAUGGCACCUGGGGUCCACCUCCUGCUCUGUAUAAGCUGAUCAGCAUCAUCCCUCGGUUCCAGGCUGCCAGACGCAGUCACCUGUAUUCCGGUGCAGAAGGAAAUUCACCUUGUGUAUCUUCUCCAGAAGCUGAAACAAACAGCUGUCAUGAAGCCAUCAUAGAUAACACAGACCUGUACAAUCCAGGAAGCAAGUAUCUGGGGCUUUUUUGGGGGGGCUUCUUUAGCUCACCUAGAAGGUCUGGUCCCUUCCUCAGAUCCCCUUUCACUUCUAGGGAACUCCUUGACCUUCCCAACCAACCUCCCAAGAGGACGCCUGCAACAAAUCUCUACGGAGGUUUCUGGCCCUGGGUCUUAUUUUUUGACACUUCUGAGUCACGGUGAGUGGGAGAUGACAAGCAGAGAAGAGAAGGAUUUAUCUAAGGGAAGACAUCAGCCUUCAGGUCAGUGACUGUUAUUCCUCCUGGCACUGAGAGUGAUCAGAGAGUGCCCUUCUGUGUGAUUAGGGUUAGCUAUUCUCCCUGACACAGGGUUCCUGGGGCUGGGCUUUCUUACCUGCCAGG